rnacentral:rRNA from 1 species
GAUGUCUGAGUACUAUAUAAUAGUUAAAACUUUCAACAACGGAUCUCUUGGUUCUGGCAUCGAUGAAGAACGCAGCGAAAUGCGAUAAGUAAUGUGAAUUGCAGAAUUCAGUGAAUCAUCGAAUCUUUGAACGCACAUUGCGCCCGGUGGUAUUCCGCCGGGCAUGCCUGUUCGAGCGUCAUUAUAACCAAUCAUGCCUGGCAUGGUGUUGGGGCACGCGGUCUCGCGGCCCUCAAAAUCAGUGGCGGUGCCGGUAGGCUCUAAGCGUAGUAAUUCUUCUCGCUACAGGGUCCUGCGGGUGGCUUGCCAGAACCCCCCAUUUUUUCAGGUUGACCUCGGAUCAGGUAGGGAUACCCGCUGAACUUAAGCAUAUCAAUAAGCGGAGGAAAAGAAACCAACAGGGAUUACCUCAGUAACGGCGAGUGAAGCGGUAACAGCUCAAAUUUGAAAGCUCCCCACAGGGCGCAUUGUAAUUUGUAGAGGAUGCUUUGGGGGUCGGCCCGGUUUAAGUUCCUUGGAACAGGACGUCAUAGAGGGUGAGAAUCCCGUAUGUGACCGGUGCUAGCCUUCGUGUAAAGCUCCUUCGACGAGUCGAGUUGUUUGGGAAUGCAGCUCAAAAUGGGUGGUAUAUUUCAUCUAAAGCUAAAUAUUGGCCAGAGACCGAUAGCGCACAAGUAGAGUGAUCGAAAGAUGAAAAGCACUUUGGAAAGAGAGUUAAACAGUACGUGAAAUUGUUGAAAGGGAAGCGCUUGCAAUCAGAC